ACGCGUUAAAUCGACCGCCUGGGGAGUACGGCCGCAAGGUUAAAACUCAAAUGAAUUGACGGGGGCCCGCACAAGCGGUGGAGCAUGUGGUUUAAUUCGAUGCAACGCGAAGAACCUUACCUGGUCUUGACAUCCACAGAACUUGCCAGAGAUGGCUUGGUGCCUUCGGGAACUGUGAGACAGGUGCUGCAUGGCUGUCGUCAGCUCGUGUUGUGAAAUGUUGGGUUAAGUCCCGCAACGAGCGCAACCCUUAUCCUUUGUUGCCAGCGGUUAGGCCGGGAACUCAAAGGAGACUGCCAGUGAUAAACUGGAGGAAGGUGGGGAUGACGUCAAGUCAUCAUGGCCCUUACGACCAGGGCUACACACGUGCUACAAUGGCGCAUACAAAGAGAAGCGACCUCGCGAGAGCAAGCGGACCUCAUAAAGUGCGUCGUAGUCCGGAUUGGAGUCUGCAACUCGACUCCAUGAAGUCGGAAUCGCUAGUAAUCGUAGAUCAGAAUGCUACGGUGAAUACGUUCCCGGGCCUUGUACACACCGCCCGUCACACCAUGGGAGUGGGUUGCAAAAGAAGUA
rnacentral:rRNA from 1 species